UAGAGUUUGAUCCUGGCUCACAUUGAACGCUGGCGGCAGGCCUAACACAUGCAAGUCGAGCGGUAACACAGGGAGCUUGCUCCUGGGUGACGAGCGGCGGACGGGUGAGUAAUGUCUGGGAAACUGCCUGAUGGAGGGGGAUAACUACUGGAAACGGUAGCUAAUACCGCAUAACGUCGCAAGACCAAAGAGGGGGACCUUCGGGCCUCUUGCCAUCAGAUGUGCCCAGAUGGGAUUAGCUAGUAGGUGGGGUAAUGGCUCACCUAGGCGACGAUCCCUAGCUGGUCUGAGAGGAUGACCAGCCACACUGGAACUGAGACACGGUCCAGACUCCUACGGGAGGCAGUAGUGGGGAAUAUUGCACAAUGGGCGCAAGCCUGAUGCAGCCAUGCCGCGUGUAUGAAGAAGGCCUUCGGGUUGUAAAGUACUUUCAGCGAGGAGGAAGGCAUUAAGGUUAAUAACCUUGGUGAUUGACGUUACUCGCAGAAGAAGCACCGGCUAACUCCGUGCCAGCAGCCGCGGUAAUACGGAGGGUGCAAGCGUUAAUCGGAAUUACUGGGCGUAAAGCGCACGCAGGCGGUCUGUCAAGUCGGAUGUGAAAUCCCCGGGCUCAACCUGGGAACUGCAUUCGAAACUGGCAGGCUAGAGUCUUGUAGAGGGGGGUAGAAUUCCAGGUGUAGCGGUGAAAUGCGUAGAGAUCUGGAGGAAUACCGGUGGCGAAGGCGGCCCCCUGGACAAAGACUGACGCUCAGGUGCGAAAGCGUGGGGAGCAAACAGGAUUAGAUACCCCUGGUAGUCCACGCCGUAAACGAUGUCGACUUGGAGGCUGUUCCCUUGAGGAGUGGCUUCCGGAGCUAACGCGUUAAGUCGACCGCCUGGGGGGAGUACGG
rnacentral:rRNA from 1 species